AUUGAACGCUGGCGGCAGGCCUAACACAUGCAAGUCGAGCGGAGCGGCGGACGGGUGAGUAAUGCCUGGGAAUCUGCCUGGUCGUGGGGGAUAACGUCCGGAAACGGGCGCUAAUACCGCAUACUAUCAGAUUAGCCUAGGUGGGUGUAGCUAGUGGGUGGGGUAAAGGCCUACCAAGGCGACGAUCCGUAACUGGCCUGAGAGGAUGAUCAGUCAAACUGGAACUGAGACACGGUCCAGACUCCUACGGGAGGCAGCGUUGGGGAAUAUUGGAAAAUGGGCGAAAGCCUGAUCCAGCCAUGCCGGGUGUGUAAAGAAGGUCUUCGGAUUUUAAAGCACUUUAAGUUGGGAGGCGUUACCAACAGAAAAAGCACCGGCUAACUUCGUGCCAGCCGCCGCGGUAAUAC
rnacentral:rRNA from 1 species